rnacentral:lncRNA from 1 species
CUUGAAGUAGUUAUGCCUGAGAUUCCUAAGCCUGAAUUGCCCCAUCUACCAGAAAUCCCAACUUUGCCUAAGCCUGAAUUCCCUGAAAUUCCAAAACCUGAGUUGCCAACUCUGCCAAAGCCACAAUUUCCUGAAAUCCCAAAGCCGGAGUUGUCAUCAUUUCCAAAGCCUGAGCUGCCAACGUUGCCAAAACUCGAGUUUCCUGCCAUUCCUAAGCCUGAAUUUCCAACUUUGCCAAAGCCAGAAAUCCCUCAGGUGCCUAAAAAGCCUUGAGUUUGAUGCGAAUGACAUCCUCUUUUCCUCAUGGAAGCAGAGCAUUAUAUUGUUGAAUGUUACACUUCCCUUGUGUCAUGUGAUCAUGUUUUUUCUUUUGGUUAAUUUUGUUGUACUAGAGAUAUUUGAAGUUUUCCUUUUGGAAAGAUUACUUAUGUGAUUUCUGUCAUCAGUUGCAGCUUCUUUUGGAUGAAAUAUUUAUGUGAUUGUUCUAUCAUCGGUACUUCACUACUGUAUUUGUGUUUCUAAUGGCAUUCAUAUACAAUUAUUUAAUAUUGAUGGGAACCCUUGGAGCAACGGUAACGUUGUCUCUGUGUGAACUAUAAGUCAUGGGUUCGAGCCGUGGAAGCAGCCACUAAUGCUUGUAUUAGGUUAGACGGUCCAUAUCACACCCUUGGGUGCAGCCCUUACUCAGAACCUGCGUGAACACGAGAUACUUUGUGCACCGAGCUUCCCUUUAUACAAUUAUUUAAUAUAUAAAGAAACUUACAAUGCUUAUAGAAUGACUAUAAUUGCAAUUCCUAGAGUUCUAGAAAACUCAAUAUUUGACAAAUAACUUUUAUCAUGCAACAAUCAUCAGAACAUUCUCUUAUGUAUCCAUAUAGUCGUUGCAAAUUCAAAAUAUGUUGCAAAAUUUUGUCGUUGGUUCCUUCUCAUGCUAGGCAAAAUAAUCUUAGUUUUUGAUUCAUGUUUCCUAUUCAAGACUGCUCAAGAACAUAAGAAAAUUGUGCAUAACUCUUCUAGGUAUGAAGCUGAAGCUUAGUCUAAAUUCUGAGGGAUAAAUACAUAGUGUUCAUAUCCAGUUAAAGACUAUCCUGGAAAAUUGCUCUUAGCUGAGCUGAGACUCUUAUUACUUUUUCUUACAUCUCGAGACACUGCAAAAAAUGUCAGAUAAUAAGCCUAAUUUACCUCUGGUGACGCAGAGGAACACAAGACUAAAAUUAGGAGCAGAUAACAGUAAAACCAAUCGAGCAGUUUGAUUUAUGAAGAAGUAGAAGGAAGCAUAGAAUUUUCAGCAUAAGAAAAACAAGACUAACUAGUUAAAUAUCUACCUCCAUCUGAAAGGAGAGACAUGAAGCAAAAAGAAUAUCAGGAAUGGACUAUAGUCUGAAGCAAAGUUUAGAAAAUAAACGAAAGCUGCAUUUCGUUUUCAGUAUCAGAAAUUGUCAAAUAAUUCCAUGUAACUUCUACUCCCGGACUUUAGUGAGGAUCUUGUGACAUAACUAACAGUACUUAAACAAUAGACUGACCGCAAUUCUUGGCCCCGAGUUUUAGCAAUUGCCAAUGUUACCCGUGUCCAGGGGCAUAUUUACGGUGCUCCUGUAAAAAUGGUUCAAUGGCUAGUCUAGAAAACAGCUAAGCAUGUAUAUAGAGGCUAAUGGAUUUGUAUCUUUUUUCUUUACUUCUUCAGUAUCCGGUAGGGGAGUAAACAGGAUUUUACUUGAUGUAGAUAAGCAUUAAUUUAGUAAUGGAGUUGCUCAUGUUUCUACAACUAGAUUAAACAUAUAAUUACCUAUACAAUAUUAUGGAUUAAACAAGGAGUUGAAACCAAUUACUUGCCAUCUUGAAGUGGUAAAAAGUUUAAAGAAAGGUGAGUUCUUAUUGGAUUACCUACUAGAAGACCUUUCUUAUGUUAUGACCUUAGCUUGUAGGAAGACCAACAUAAAAUAUGUAAUAGAUAUUAGCAUGGAGAGUUUGCUUUAAAUUAAAUUAGGAGGUUAUUGUUGAGAAGAUGAACUAACAGUCAGUUUUUCCUACCAACCACAACCAAAGCUCAAUUCUCUUUCCUAUUCUCCACAUCCAAUAUCUAUAUAAACUCAACCAAAGUAGCCUAAGACAUAAUCACUGAGUAUAAAAUACAAAUCUUCAAGAAUUUAUCGCACCUUCAACAAUGGCUUAUCACCACAACCCAUCCUUUUCCUUGUUAUUACUUGUCACUUUAUCAUUAAUAAGCAGCUAUCUAAUUCAAGCAGAAGCACGCCAUCUUCUUGAAGUAACUAUGCCUGAGCUUCCUAAGCCUGAAUUGCCACAUCUACCAGAAAUCCCAACUUUGCCUAAGCCUGAAUUCCCUGAAAUUCCAAAACCUGAGCUGCCUGCUCUGCCAAAGCCACAAUUGCCAGAAAUCCCGAAGCCGGAGCUUCCAACAAUGCCAAAGCCUGAACUUCCAACGAUGCCAAAAUUCGAGAUCCCUGCCAUUCCUAAGCUUGAAUUUCCAACUUUGCCGAAGCCAGAAAUCCCUCAAGUGCCUCAGAAGCCUUGAGCCCGAGGCGUAUGAAACUCUCUUUGCCUCAUUGAAGUAGCAUUGUUGAAAUGUUAACACUUAUUGUGUCAUAUGAUCAUAUGCUUUUCUUUGUUGUUCUAGAAUCAUUUGAAGCUUUCCUGUUGGAAGAAUUGUUUAUGUGAUUGUUCUGUCAUCAGUUAACUAAUAUAUUUAUUUCGUGGCAUUAU